UUUGUUUUAAAUGAUGAACAUUUGUUUUAAAUAAAUGUUACACAUAGGAAUUUAUUUAAUCAAUUAUUUUAAUUAAAUCGAUAUUACUAUUUUUAAAAUUCAGUUAUAAUCUGGUUAAACUAAUUUCUCAAUACAAUUUCCCCUUAUUUCCUAGUACCAAGGAUAUGGAAUUUCUACUCUUAUUCAAUGGCCUUCCAUGCCUGUGUUCCUAUUUCUACUUUAUACAUCUACCAUCUCAAUGUUCAAAGCUUGCUUAUAGAAUUACUUCUGAUUAUUUUUUCAAAGUCUGACCAAAUAGACAUUUUUAGACUAGAUUUUGCAUUAAUCUUAGCUAAAGGUCCUUUUGUCCUAAGUUUGGUCUCCCCUUAAUAUUCUAGUCCUGUUUCAGUCUCCAGACUUAUAUUCCCUUAAACCUAUCCCCAGGUUAAACCAUCCAUCUGUGUAUGUGUUGGGAAGAAGCUGAUUCAAGAUGUUAGGUGUAGCUAUGCGUCUGGUUGGCAGAGAAAUGAGAUGCUUGGAAUGGCCUCUGGAAAAAAAAAAUUUAAGAUCAUAAAUGAAAUCUUCAUUUCCGAAAAUAAUUAAAGACUAACAUAUUAUUGUAUCUCCUCUGUCCCUAGCACUAUGAAAGCAAUUGUGGGUCUAAAUUACCAGGCUAUCAGAUUUGGAGUAUUUUUAAUAGACAUUAGGGAAACCGUUGAAUGGUUUGUGUAUGAGGCAUUUACCUUAACCUCUCUGGGUACCAACUUUUCAGAUGAAAAAUGAAGAUCAAAAUAAAAAAAUUGUCAGUAGAGCUAUCCUUCUUAUUGUGCCCAUGACAGUAUUUACACAGGUCUCCAUGACAUUCUAAGAAACCAGUUUUGUUGAUUAGAAUUUGUCUUCAAGACAAAACCUAUAUGCCGUACCAGGGCUGGAUGGUCAUUUGCUUCUCUUAUGAUGCUUGCAUUCCAAGUCUCUGAUUCUAUAACAAGCCUGAGGAAGGACAAAAAAGAUGUGUAGUUCAUGAUUUCUGCUUGGUAGGAACAUGCAAUUUGGGUGCGAGGAAAGAAAAAAUAAAUUAAGAGGAACUGUGUACAUAUUUAUCAAGUGUAAGACUUAGCUACUAGUAGUCAAAAAAAUUUAGUUAAUACUACAAAAUUCCAAGAGAUGAGGAUUUAUAUGGUCUGAAUAUUUUUGUCCUCCAAAUUCAUAUGUUGAAACCUUCACCCACAAAGGUGAUAAUAGUAGAUUGGGGCCAUUGGAAGGUAAUUAGGUCGUGAAGGUGGAGCCGUUAUGAAUGGGAUUAGUGCCUUGUAAAAGAGACCUCCAAGAGAUCUGUAGCCCCUCCCAGCAUGUAAAGACCCAAAAGGCAGUUUCUGCAAUCUGAAGACAGCCCUCACCGGGAACAUACUGGCACCCUGAUCUUGGACAUCUAGCCUGCAGAACUGUGAGAAAUAAAUUUUUAUUGUUUAUGAGUCACCUAUUUUAUGAUAUUUUGUUAUAACAUACCAGUUGGACUAAGACAAGGAUGUUUCAUACACGAUAAAACUCUUAUCCCCAUUAAAGUGUAUAUAUUCAACAACAGGAAGUGACAGCUAUCUCUGUAUCUUUUUAAAAACCACUCAAAAAGAGAAUGAAUAAAGGUCAUUUUAAAAAGACGUUUUUUAAGCCUGAAUAGGAAAUGAAAUCAAUCUGAGCGAUAUAUCAUAUUUAGGCUACUGUAGGAGCCUGGCCAGAGUUCUCUACUGGGCUUCUUCGUGUUAACAUCCAUCAGAAUGUUCAGCCAGAGAUGGUAAAAGAAGGUGGUUCCAUGGGUAUAAACUGCCAUUCAUUUUACCUUUAAUGUUCCUUCUGGGGCUUAUAUGAGGGGAAUAGAUUUAGCCUAAAUAUGUCAAAGGGAUGUAGUUAAAGGACUGGACCUCAGACAUACCUAAGACCUGAAUUUAAAGAAGGAUAAUCCUCAGAAAUUGAUCUUGAACUCACCUGAUGGAAAUGUCUUGGGAUUUCUUUAUACCAGUUGUAUAUGGUGAGUGGAUAGGCAGAUAAGCUAGAAACUGCAGAGAAGUCAGGCAGGAGAGGGUACCAGGAGGGUCUGAAGUUUACUCCUAGCUUACAACUCCAACAAUAACAAAGAUUCAUUUUUACUCUGGUAGAUUUCUCACUCAAAAUGGGUAGAAUCAUUUAUAGCUUAUGCAACUACUGAGGUAUUUAGAGGCUUAGGAUGAAAAAUUCUGCCAGGGGAAAUGCUAUAUUGCAACUCUGAGUGAUUUGUAACUGUGCUAAAAGUACUCAAUGUUCUUUAAAUGGUUUGUUAUUUUCUCUUCUGAGCUAUGUCUCCCUGUUCUUGGAAACUGAUUUAGAUUUAUUUCUCAGGCAGCUGGAAUAUUUUCUUCCAGUAAGGUAAAUGGGUGGUAUGUUUUUUUUUUUAAAUCCGUCUAUGUCUGAGAGUGUAUUUAUCUUGCCCUCACAUGUAAUUUGGCUGGAUACAAAAUUCUUGAUAACAUUUUUCUUUCAAAAUGAUGUAGCUACUAUUUUUAUUGGUUCUGACUUUGAGCAUUAUAGAAACAAAGUCUAUUAAAAAAUAUGAUUUUUUUCCAUUUUAGGUAACUUGUAUGUUUGUUUCUUUUUCCUGAUACAUAAUUGCAGAAAUGUUUUUUUAUCCUUGAAAUUCUGAAUUUCAAGUAGCAUUUUUCCAAGUGUGUCUUUCUUAAUUCUUCUCUACUUCUGGAACCUCAGCUGAAAGCAUAUUUUUCCUCUUGAUUCUCUCCUCUAUUUCCCUUAUCUUUUGGCUAAUCAUAUUCCUUGCUUUUCGUUUUUCUUUGAGUUAUGGAUAAUUAGUUCCUCAUGUUUUUUAAGUCAUUGAUUUGGCAAUCUGUGGUAUCCUGAUCACCACCUCUCCUGGCUGUUUAAAAAAUUUUUAAGUAGAAAUUUUAUAGACAUAAAACAUUCAUAAAGAAAAAAAGCACAAAUAAUAAGUGCAAAAGUCAUUGAAUUUCAAUUGUAUGUCUUCAAGUAAUUGAAGCUGAGUCCCCCCAAAACCAAGUUCCUCUGAUAAGUUUAUAAUUAACCUCCCUAGCCAAAAUUUUAUUCCCUUUCUUGUCCAGAACCUAUUCCCCUCAAGACUGAAGAAUAUCAAACAAAAGGGGGAAUUGAAACCACAUACAAACCCCUUUGUCCCUGUCCUUUGAAGUAAAAAGCUUUUAGGUUAGUCUCCCAGGCCUCCCCUGAGUCUCGAAAGGCUGGCUCAGGAGUUAAUGGUUAGGAAAUGAGAAGAUGUACCAAGGAGAAGUAGCUGUUGGGCCGAGAAACUGGUAACAAUUUUAGACUAUGAAUCCACUACAUAGCAGAAUCACUGAACUUCCAUUUCCCUGAAGUUAUGGAUAAAGUCCCAGCACACAUUCCUAAGUUGUGCUUGGGUCUUUUAGGCACUGCCUGUCUGGACUCCUCGCUUGGUGCUCUGUAAUAAAUGCUGCACUUUCCUCCACCGCAAACCAGUGUCGGUAGACUGACUUUGCUGCUUGCUGGCGCAGAGACCCAAGUUUGGUUGGGUAACAAUUUUGGUACCUCAGAUGCGAUAGCACAUCAGCCCUGGCCAGUGACAGCUCUUGGAUCCUGUCCAGCAGCUGCUUAAGCACCUUUGUCUCAGGGACAGUCCAGAGUGCUGGCCACCGACCGGUGCGGCUGGCCCAUGGUGCUUUCAAUUCUGUGAUGAAGGGACAGAGCUCUGGUUUUGGUCUGUGUCUACUAAUUGACAGAGACAGACAUUCGGGAGUCAACGGGCUUGAUGUAGGAGGAAUUCUGACCCUGAGAGGACAGAAAUAUUCCUAGGAGAAACCUUGAAGUUACAACUCUCUAUCAUGGCCGUGAAACGCAAACACAGCCCACAUUGCCUAAGACUCCUGACCUUGGGUUAAUUACCAAAACUUCAAAUCAAAAGAAAAAAAAAAGGAGGGGAAAGAGGCUUCUUUAAACUCAAAUAAAAUAAGCAAUUUUAACUUAUUCCAAAUGUUAUUUUUGGUUUUGUGUUUGUCAGAUGAAUCGCUAUGAUGUGUGAGGUCAUUACUCCCUGUCUUUCCAUUUGCAUGUUGUUUGUUGUUAAAAAGAAAGACUUUUGUUUGAGAAAGUUGAGAAACUUGUUGGACUUCACCUAUUUAUUUUUGGCCUGCAGGAAUUAGAUUUUGUUCUUUGUGUGUAUGUUUGCAUUUGUCUUGUGAUUAAGUGUGCCCACUAUGGGAGAUUCAAAUUCAUUUCCUGAAUGCAGCCCCUGCAGUUGCGUUCUCCAGAACUGAACUGCUUUCAGUUACAAACCAAUGAAAUGUAAAAAGAUGAUUUUCCUUUGCAAUAUGGCCUGGCCAUAAUGCUCCCUAGAUUUAGGGGAAAAAGUGGCUUAUUAACGGAUCCCUAAACUAUGCUACUAUUAUACAAUUCGAAUUGUUUUCAAUAGACAGAGAAAAAGGAGAUAAAAUUUACAAACUAAGAAGUUUUACAUUGUAAUAUCUGAUUCAUAAAUAAGUUUUAAAAUGAAACUAUGAGAUCUCUGUCUGGAAGUACGUAUGUCUAUGUGUGAUACUAUGAUAAGUUAUAAGAGAUAAAGAGGAUAAAAGCUUUUUGAGUGAACCCUGGGGGAGUAAUUGUGUUUUAGAAAUGUCUACUUAAAAAUAAUUUUCCCAGAUGUUCGGUAACUUGAAACUUUGGAGUUUUGCUAAGUUAAAUUAAAUGAUAAGAACUCAUUGAAUGUCUAAAUCAUUUUUAAGAUAAAAUAGUAAAACAUUGAUUGCUAGACAAGUCUAAGUUUGUCUCUUUUGCCUUGUUAUGAGAAAAAUUAAACAUGUUUUGGUUUAUUAGGUACACAUCUUGUACCACAUUAAAAAGAGAAAUUAGACUUUGUGGAAAUGUAUGUUUUUAAAGAUUAUAGAUUAUGUUAAGUUUGCUAAUCAGGAAAUACUGGUCUGACAGACAGAGUCAAUUACUUGCUUCUUGGUUUUUGCUAGAGGUUAAGGUUUUUAAGGGUUAAAAAUGAUAAUAUAUGUAAUUAAACUACUAAAGUAAUAAAAAUGCAUUUCAGUGUAUAAAAGAAGUAGGAUAUAUGUUGUCAGUGAUAAAAGGUAUAUAGAAUGGAAAUACCUGUUUAAGGCCAAAAAAAAAAAAAAGGAGAAUAAUUUUGUCCUAGAGCUGGUUGUUUCUGGAUGGGAAAAAAAAAUUAACGGGAUGAACUAAUAUGGAUACAGAAGGUGAUGGAAAGUUUGUAGAAAGGAAUCUUGAGAAAAGGAUUUUGUGCUUGGUCAGGAUUGACUAAGGUUAGAUUGAAUUUUAUUAAGUAAAUGAAUUUGGUUACUAACAGUAAGCUGGUACGAAACUGAGUCUGGUUUUCUCUGUCAAGAGAACAAAGUUUUCUUGCUAUACUGCUUCUGGUAGCACAUGGGGUAAGUUUCUUUUGAAGCAUUUUGUCAGUUUGGUGAAGUGGAAAAGUAUUGUUUCACAGUGAUCUAUAAUUCUAUUUGACCAAGUGUUUUGAAACUUUUUAAUAUUUUUUGGCAGACUUCCCAUAUAUCAAAUUCUAAUUAAAGUUCUCUUUCCUCCAGCUAACUUUGGGAUGUUUCAGAAGGCCCCUGAGUCAUCUCAGAAAAAAAUAUUAAAUGAACUAGGAUUAUUUGGUAGGUUAAAUUACAUAGAAAGCAUUGUCAAAUAAUAAACAUUCUUAGGUCAUACUGUGUGGGUAAAUGUCAUUAAUAUAAAUGCUCUAAAAAUUAUACAAAAUUUCUAAAAUUUGAAUAUGUCCUGGUAUUAUGUUCUUACUUAUACUUCUGGUUAUUAUUUUAAUAUGUUGUAUGGCACAGCAACUUGGUUAAGUUUCUUUGUCAAUUAAAUCGUGCUCAGAUCUUUGUGCCUUUUUAAGUUUUUCAUCAGACAGUUAUUGUUUCACUCUGAUGCUUUUGCGAAAGUAAUUUAUCUUCAAGAAGAUUCAUCAAAAGGACUUUUCAACAGGUACCGAUAACUUUCAGAUCGUGCUGCUGAACUAGGUAAGAAAUUUUAGAAUUCUGGUGGAAACCCCAAAGGUUUCGUAAGACUGUUAAUAAAAAGGGUUAGUUACACAAGACUGAGUGAACUGAUAAAUAUGGCUAUAUUUUUAUGUCUUUUGUCUACAUUUCAAUUACUGGCUUCCAGUCUGCAUUUUCCAGAUAAAAGGAAACCUCUCCCCUUAAGCUGAAUAUGAUUUAUAACAACUUGAUAAAUUAUACUUUAUAAGUAGAAUUGAAACAUUUAUCUUUUUCUCUUUACCUAAUCCCUCCAGAAAUUGAAAACUCUUAGGUUCCCAGCUGCCUAAUCAGGUGAACAAGGACGGUCACCUCCUGACAGAUGCAAGAAUCUCAAGAUAUUUUGGGGACCUUGACAAGAGAGGAAUUCACAUAAAUCUAUAGAUAUUGCAGGCAGAAUCUGUGACAAGCCCUUGGCAUGGCUUUCUAGGCCUUGAGUGAUCUUUUAAAAGUCUAAGACUAAUUAUGAAGAAUUCCAGCACAACCAAUUUAUUAUUUUUUUUUUUUUUACUAAUUUCGUCUGUUUCUUUUUACUUUUUGCUUGUUUGUUUUGUCUUUUUGAGGCAGGGAUGGGAGGUAAUUAGGUUUUGUUUAUUAAUUUAUUUUUCAGUGGAGGUACUGGGGAUUGGACCCAGGACCUUGUGAAUGCUAAUCACAUACUCUACCACUGGGUUAUACCCUCCCCACCCUUGGCACAGCCAAUUUAAAAGAGCCUAUAUGAUCAACUAAUCAGACUUAUUUGGCAAACAAAUUAGUCUUAACUUGGCUAUAUCUGAUAAAAAUGAAGGUAAUUUUAGAGAAAAAAAUUAUGUUUCAAUGGAUAUUAAAUUCUAGUUUUGUUAAAUAAGGUCAGUAGUUGCUGCCUGAGACUCCCUUUCCAAAUAAACCUUUGUUGCUAUGUUAUAUUAUUGUAAAAUUUAAUUGAGUUCUUAAGAAGAUAUUCUAAGCUUGUUUCUGAAGCUGAUCAAGGUAAUCUAUCUUUGGAUGAAGAUCAGAUGGCCCAUGAGCUACAACAAGGGGAUUAUGCACCCUGGAAAAAGCAUUAUUUAAAGGACUGUCUCCAACCUAGAUAAAAGGACUCUUAUCAAGUAUUCUUAAGUACCUCAUACACAGUGAAACUGAAAGAAAUUAACUCUUGAACUCCUACUUCCCACUUAAGAAGUGCCUCUAUAUUGGACUUGUCAAUAGAAAGGACUGCUGACCUCAAAUAACACCCACACCAAGACAAGAAGAUGACAGCAAUGUUAGACAGCUAAUGCAAGAAUCCACACCAGGCCAGUAAGACCUAUCAUACUAAUUUAAUUGAACUAUUUACUAAAUGUUUGUUUCCCUAUCAACAUUGAAAGUUAUUGUUUUACUUCUAGCUAUACUAUUGCCCCUAGUGUUUAGGAUGGGAAAAAAAUGUCUAAUAAAGUUAUCACAGAGUGUCACUA